CUGUUUGUGUUUGAGCUGGUAAUUUAUUCCAUAAUCUAGGGGCAGCACAGAGAAAUGACCGGUCCCCGAGGGUUACUUUGGUUUUAUAUGGGGGUAUUUGCAACAUAAAUGUGUCUUGUGUACUACGAAGGUUACGACCAUGAGUUUGAGACUUGAUGUGCAACAAUUCAGUAACGUAACUAGGAGUUUGACCAUUUAGAGCUUUGUAGACUAUCGUUAAUAUUUAAAAUGUAAUUCUCUGGCGAAUUGGCAACCAAUGUAGUUCCUUUAGAAGUGGAGUUAUUCGAGAGAAUUUUGGGAGGCUGCAAAUUAGUCGUGCACAUGUAUUUUGGACCCGCUGCAACUUGGAGAUUUGUGAGUCUGGCAAUCCAUACAAUAAACUAUUACAGUAAUCUAGUUUACUAGUAACACAUGCAUGCAUGAUAGUUUUCAUGCUGUCCUGAUCAAAGUAUUUUCGAAUGCGUCUCAAAUUA